rnacentral:rRNA from 1 species
AGAGUUUGAUCCUGGCUCAGGACGAACGCUGGCGGCGUGCUUAACACAUGCAAGUCGAACGCUGAAGCUCAGCUUUUGUUGGGUGGAUGAGUGGCGAACGGGUGAGUAACACGUGAGUAACCUGCCCCCUUCUUUGGGAUAACGCCCGGAAACGGGUGCUAAUACUGGAUAUUCACUGGUCUUCGCAUGGGGUUGGUGGAAAGGGUUUUUCUGGUGGGGGAUGGGCUCGCGGCCUAUCAGCUUGUUGGUGGGGUGAUGGCCUACCAAGGCUUUGACGGGUAGCCGGCCUGAGAGGGUGACCGGUCACAUUGGGACUGAGAUACGGCCCAGACUCCUACGGGAGGCAGCAGUGGGGAAUAUUGCACAAUGGGCGCAAGCCUGAUGCAGCGACGCCGCGUGAGGGAUGGAGGCCUUCGGGUUGUGAACCUCUUUCGCCCGUGGUCAAGCCGCGACGUGGGUCGUGGUGAGGGUAGUGGGUAAAGAAGCGCCGGCUAACUACGUGCCAGCAGCCGCGGUAAUACGUAGGGCGCGAGCGUUGUCCGGAAUUAUUGGGCGUAAAGGGCUUGUAGGCGGCUGGUCGCGUCUGCCGUGAAAUUCUCCGGCUCAACCGGGGGCUUGCGGUGGGUACGGGCCGGCUGGAGUGCGGUAGGGGAGGCUGGAACUCCUGGUGUAGCGGUGGAAUGCGCAGAUAUCAGGAGGAACACCGGUGGCGAAGGCGGGUCUCUGGGCCGUUACUGACGCUGAGGAGCGAAAGCGUGGGGAGCGAACAGGAUUAGAUACCCUGGUAGUCCACGCUGUAAACGUUGGGCACUAGGUGUGGGGGCCACCCGUGGUUUCUGCGCCGUAGCUAACGCUUUAAGUGCCCCGCCUGGGGAGUACGGCCGCAAGGCUAAAACUCAAAGGAAUUGACGGGGGC